rnacentral:lncRNA from 1 species
AGAAAACAAAGCCAUCCUGACCCUAAAACAACAAAUCCCAACGCUCUUCUGUGAAGUCCAGAAAAAGAACUGAAGGAAAUGUGCAAAGCCAACACAUACAUAAGAACGCCCAUGAAAAACAUUUGUUUCAGGCUGUCAGCACUGCAGCACUCACUCUCCAGAAAAGCUCUGACACAUGAUGUGCUCCAGGCCUUGGCAACAGCAAAAACAAGGUGAGAUGCAAAGCUGCUGAUAAAAGACUCACCCGGCUGACAGUAAUAGCAGAAGAAAGGGCUGCUUCAAAUCACUGUUCUCUAACUGGCAGAUUUCAUGAAAAAUACACCUGCAAGGUGUCUGAUAGGGCAGCCUUCAUCCCUGCAAACGCUGACAGCCAACUCGAGCGCUGGCACUGCCUGUCUGUGGCACUGAAUCCAAAUGCCACGUGCUUCCAGCAGGAGCUGAGCCCAUCGCUGAGCAGGGAAACAACAGGCCUCACAUCGUGUUAUGACUGCUGUAACAGCAAGUCAGAUGCUGUUUUACAUGUGCUAAAGGCUGAUACUGCUUCAUAUUUGUACUGGCACUGAACACAUCACAACCAGUAUUAGAAAUACGCUUCUUAGCCAUUCUUGCCGUGGUCACAAUAUUAUUUUAAUCCAGCUCUCAUCUCUGCUCGUCCCACAGUAGCCCUCGCAGCAGUGCUGCAAGGCAGGCCAGGAAACUGUAGAAGCUGGGAAACUGACAACUUAGCAUAGAAAAACCUGUUACAAAUUCCUACAGAGAACUCACACAGAGCACACGCUAUCUGGGUUGCCUUGGAGUAUCUCCUGAAGUUUCAAAGCUUCGUUUUACUAAACUAUACACAAAUACGAAUCUCAUAGAAGCACAAAGAUUAGCAAAGUCAUUUUUACAUUAAAUCUGAUUAUAAGAUUUCUCUUCCUUCUUUGGGAUUGCAAGUAUGUGAUAGCAGUAUCCGUACCUUCCAAAUAUAACUCCAUUAAUAGAGGCUGAGUUUAGCAUUUAAUGCAACAGCUGCUUCACUGAUAGCCUGAAAGAAGGCAAAAGGAUUGCCUGAUAAAGCCAUUACAGAGAGCCAGCCAGGGCCUUUUAGUUCAGUUGUGCCAGGAAAACUGGCUCCUUUUCUUUUUUAUUUAUGGCUUGAGAGAUGAAAACCACUUAAAGGACAUUUUCCUGGGAGUCACUGUUUAGGUUUUUAUCUUGAAGUUACUUAAAAAUGUAUUCCCAAUGAAAGCAAUCCUACACUGACUUGCAGGAGAUUCUUCUCUUAUGGUAGUAGAGAGGGAUGACAAACCUACACACACUGCUUGCCCACAGAAGUACCCACAUUCAAAAACUGAGAAAAGAAAUAGAAGGUAUUUAAUGACAAAAAGUCUCCUUUUUAUUAAAACUUUGCAAGUUACAAUGAAAAAGGAUAGAUUGUCAAUUUUUAUGAUCACAGACUGCAGCUCUUCUAAUAGCCACUACGUUUACAGGGGAAUUCCACUAUGGGGUUUGAGUAUAGCUGUUCUGUGCUGCCGUGGAGCAGUCCUUUGUGGUUGACUCGUACUGUCUAAUGGUCUGCAGUACCAUCACACCUGUGAAGUACUUCAGAAAAGCUGUUUGAUAAUGGCUCACGUGCCAUUUACUUUCAAUACCAAGUAAGUAUUAGCUUCGGUUAUUGAGCAAUACCAUAUAAAGAUAUGAAAUUGAAAACCUCCCCCCAAACCCUCAGGCAGUCCCAUUAUUUAAAAAAGUCUAUUCUUAUUCCACCCUCAAGCAGAAGUUGAACCCUCCCACAAAAACAAACUGCUUUUUCUUUGGUCUACUUGGAUCCUGUAGACAGCAGGGCAAUCAGUCCAGACGAAGCACUUAUGGAAAGGAUAUAGUUUACAGUGGGGUUGAAGUUCUUCAGCACAAAAAAUGAAGCAAUGAUGACCAGGACCAGAAAGAGAGUAUUGUUGUAGAAGAUGGAAAAGGUUGUUGCUUCAUAAUCUGCAACUUCGUUUUUCUUCCAUAAAAUCCUUUCAUCCUUCUCCUUCCGAGACAUCUUCCUGUUGUCUGCCUCAGAAAGCUUGCGAGUAACUUCUUUGGAAACAGCAUCUUCUCUCUUCUGUGCUACCUUGUGCUUGAGGACGAACUUGACGUUCUUAUACGCAAACGCCACGAGGUAGGUACUGAUGAGGGUCAUCACGCUGUACAGCACGGCAGACUGAACCAGAUCCAUGUGCCAUAUCCUCCAGUAGAGCCAGAUGGGGAUGGCAGAGACGAUGAAGGCGUUGCCGAAGAAGAGCGCGGAGGACUUGGCCGAGAGGUUGCGGCUGAAGUCCUGCAGCAGCAGAUCCUCCUCCGACUGCUGCCGCCCGCCGGGACCACCUUUGGGCGCCAUGCCUGGGUACAGUCAGCGCUGCCGAGGACGGGGAGCCACUUCCGGUGCGCUGGACGCUACUUCCGGCGAGAGCGGCGCCACUUCCGGUAGUGGGGGGCGGCGGCCGUUCCCGCCGUUCCCGCUGAGGUGAUGAUGUCCGCUCGUCCCUCAGCCGCCGCCGAGCGCCGCCACGGAGCCCGCAGCCGGGCCUGGAGCCGCCCCCGCGGGAUGCGGCGGAGGUCGGCGCUGCUCAGGCCCCCGGGCCCGGCUGCAAGCAGUGCUGUGAGCGAUGCUGCUGAUGGUGAGGCCUUCCUGUGUGGUAUGGAAAUGCACCUGCAGCAGGGAUCCCUGGGCUGACAGCACAGCGGGCUGCAUGGGGCUCUGAGUGCCAGCAGAAACACUGGUGCCAAAAUCGUACAAGAAUCCCUAAGGUGCAAAAGGGGAAAUUCCUGUGAGGCAGCGUGGAACAACCUGAGGUGGGUCAAGAGCAGAACCACAAAGCUUUUGCUGGGGCCCCUUCCAUCACCACAGCAGUGCUAGGAACAGAUGCCCUGGGGCUGAAGGGCUGUAAAGUCUUUUUAGUUUCAGUAGAAAAUUCUGCUACAGUGAUGUGGUGUUGUUCUGUCCAAAGGUCUCCCAAAGGUCAGUGCUUGAAUGCUUAGGAUGUCAUUGCUGUCUGGGCAGUGUGUGGGCCGGAUAGCAGAGGUCGUUUAGCUGUACUUGUGUAGCCAUCGCCCUCUGUGUUAGGGCCUAUCUGUACCUAAGGGAAAUGAAAGCAGUGUUCUCAACGUGUUACUGAAACAUUGUUUUACAAGGGGGAAUAAUUCUACAUUCCAUCAAAUUCGUUUAUUACAGAGUCUUGUGUCAGAGUUCUUUUGAAUUACGUGUGCUGUGUUCUUCAUGUGGUGUGAAGUGACCUUUCUGUCAAAUUCUGAUUGUGGUUUUCCAGCUCUGCCGACCUAAACCCUUGGGAACACACAGCAAUUGUUUCUGCAAGUAACAGAUUACUGUAAAUAAUAGUUCUCAAGCUUAUGGAAAAUUCUGUAUUACUUUGAGUGGUUCUUUCUUGGCAUAGCUCUGCUGAAAAGAUUACAGGCUCUUACAGCUUGAUGGCUUAUGCAGUCCUUCUAAUCUAAUUUAAAGGCUCUCGAUAGCUGUGUUUUUUUAGCUAAUAAAACCUGUGGAGAAAAACUCCCUUGAGAUUAAUACAUAAUGUAUGAACAGACCAAAUAGGACCGUUUUCGCUGUCAUCCAGCGUUACUGGUAGGACAUUCCAGUAUUUCUUACGGUUCAGUGAAUUGCUCUGUUGUUAGUUGCCAUGGUAGCUGACAACCUGUAUAAUAGAACUCUGAAAGCCCUCCAGACAAAGGCACGUCUCUUUCAGGAUACUGACUGCUCUCACAUCCCAACCAUAACGGUUGUAUCAGAAAAGAGAUACUGGCAAUAAUCCUCUCUGAGAGCCACAAAAUAGCGCUUAGGGCUAAAUUACACGCCACCCUAUUGGUGAUUAUAGCUCGAUCUCCGUGUUGUUGUACAACUUGCAUUUGUAAAAGUAACAGAACGUUGUGUGCUCUGUGCAAUUACAGUGCACACCCUAAACAAAAAGCUGUAACAACAAAUGUUCUCAGCAGGGACUUUGAUACACCCUCUCUGUUCCUUGCUUUUAUAACACGACUUCAUCGGAGUAAAUGUGCAGAAAUACCUGAUAUUUUAGGAUUGUUUGUUUCAGCCAGUUACAGAAUGUGAGACAGAAACGUAUACAGCUGUCUUCUAGAAGAGUCUUAUUUCUUUCAUGCUGUGCCCUGAUGCUUGCACACGGUUGGAGGGUUUUUUGUGUUCUUUUUAAAGCACCAGUGGUGCAUAUUGUUACACGUGGGGAGGGUGUCUGUCGUCCUCAAAUUAAGAGCACUCUUUGCAGUAUGUGGACUAAAAAGUUUGUGACAGCUUGCAGCUGUUUAUGGCACUUCUCAAAAGUGCAUUCUCCUCAUUGUGGCUAGAAGAAAUCCGGGCUCAUUUCUUUCUGUGCUUCUUUCCUCCUCAGUGCUUGUUAGUUGGUAACUAAAUUAAAUGUGCACGAUGAGCGUGAACUGAGCAGUUGUGCUGUGUGUGUGGUGCAGGUGGAUGAGAAGCAUUUUGGUCCUCUCUGUGCUAUGCUUUUUUUUUUUUUUUUUAAGCUUUCUGUGAAACCAGGGGUUUACAAUUGCACCUCUAACCUGGCUGUAUUACUUGUCAGGCAGAUCAGUUGCAGGGUGUGGUUCAGAGCACAGCCCCCAAACCAGCACAGCUGUUGCACAGCUGGAGGGGCAGUCUUAAACUUGCAACUCGAAACCUGCCGAAUUUCUGUGGCCCUUCUGUAACUGAAGAGAGCUCAGUGUAGCACUGACCCAUUUUUGGUGUCUUGAAAUGAUCUCAUCUGUUCCAGUUUCCUCCUUUUAACGUUUUUCAGGCUUUGGUUGGUAGACUUUUCUGCAUGUCGACCAGAUGAAUGAAAUAAUGUCUGUAAGUAGGUUCCUGGGGGGCUUCUUUACUCAACACUUUUCUCAGAUACUUCAUGGAAUUAACACCUUGGAAAAGCGAUAUUGAAUGCAGUAUUUGACAAGUAACAAAGUUAUAUGGGUAAGAAUUAACCUAAUAUUCAAGAUUUAGGGCAUCUGUUUCUCUAACAUGAUCUGUUCCAUGUUGCUUUGAGAUCAGGAGGUAUGUCCUGCAGAUAAUCCAAGUGAAAGCUUUUAAAAGCAGGAAAUACAAAAUCACAGUAUCUUAUUUAAUCCUUUAGCGUAUCCUUAACUUGUGUUCUGACUGAGCACAAAAUCCCCUGUUGUGGUUGCUCUGGAGGCUUGUGCAGCUUGACACUGUAUGUGAGUGUGCUCCAGCCAAAUGUGACCCCAGCAUGGGCACUCACUCGGUGUGCACUGCGAUGUGUGACUUCCACCACUCAGAAGGACUCUUCCAGACAUGCAGCUAUGGGAGUGUCACUGUACAUGGAGGUGCUGUAGGCAUUUGUAUGGGUCACACUCACUUUUUAUGAUGUGGUGGAAGAAUUACAGCAUGAAAUUAAGCAUGUGAGCUGUGCUGUUAAUGCUUUGGCACUAGAGCUGCCAAAGGUGAGGCUGAGAAAGCUAUGGGAAUGAGCCUUUAAUAGAGGCAGACCUACCAAAUUGUGCUCCACGUGUUGAAGGCAACUGGCAUGCCCUAGGAGAGCAAAAUGAGAGAAAGGUGUGACUGAGGCAGUGGAGCUCUGGCCCAGGGCCCAGGUUUGUUGCAGGCUACAUAGCAACAUCUGUAACCAUCCCUUUGGUUGCUGCCUCUGUGUUGUGUAUUUGUGCAUGAAGGGUGCUAGGCAAUCAGGAACAGCCACUUAAAUAGGGGAUGGUCGUCUUGUGUCUCUAACUGCAUGCACAUUGUAAGCAGUUCAGAUGUAUUCCUCACAUUAGGAACGUAUUGGGUGAUUUGCACUGGAGUUAUGCUGGUCUAGUUCAGCACUCUGAAUCCCAGUUAGUGGGAGGAAGUUGGCCAGAUGGGAUUUCUGGGUCUUAAAUGUGUGUCAAACACCCACUGCCGCUUCAUCCUUCAGCAGCAUAGGAGGGUCUCAUGGUGGUUGGUGUCACUUCCCACCUGUGAGUUCUCUCUGGGCUUUCCCAGAAGAAAACCUUAGCCACGGGGAAAUCUUAGCCUGUAAAGUAUAGCCACAAGAGUUGCCCACCCACAUGCUGAUGGCUCCUAAAGCGCUCAUGUUUGGAUGCGUGAAUAAAAGGGGAUAUUUAUGUCUACUCCACUUGAGGAUGGUUGUUUGCAGUUGCAUAUGGCACACAAUAGCCUUGUGCAUCUCAAACUCAUCACAGUAAUACCCACUGCACUGUAAUGGUCUGCACAAAAUGGAGCGUGGUCUGGUUUUGCCAGAUGUAAUACAUGUUUGUGCUGUUGCUUUCCAGGUGUGCCUUUACAAUUGCUGAACUUUUGGUUGAAGAAUGGCCACUAUUGAUGUGUAGAUAGUAAGCCAUCUACGUAUUGCAGGUGGAAGUAGCUUUAAUUUUGGAAGUGUUGAAAUGUUCGUUGACCAACACUGGAUUAUAAAGGAGCAUUUCUGUUCUCCUUAGUUUAAAUUGGAGUCAGCCUAGGGAAGAAACAAAGCCCCGCCGUCCAUAUCUGUAUGUGGGAUGCUUGUACUAAUUCAGGAGACUUCCACAAGAGGGGGCACCACUUCAACCGUAUAUAGAAACCCAAUGAGGGUGUCCCCAUUGCAUGUUUUCUGUCAUUUUCUGUGUUAAUUCAUGUCUCUAAAUCAGCUUCAAAAUUGCAUGGAUGCUUUCUCCAGUUGAAUGUCCCCGUUUGUCUCCCCAGUCUGUGACAUGAAUGGAUACCUUUUUCUUUGUGGGUAAGCAAGUCAGGAAGUGUAGCUAGGCACAAAGGGCACGUUUCCAAGGAGUCCUGCUUGUGCUCAUGAAAAGCUGUCUUUAGGUUCCAGUCACAAAAUGCUAUUUAGAUCCUUGUUUUCUUUUCAGCAUACUCAAAAGUGUUGCAUGUUAUUAAUUCAGGGACAGCCUCCUGCAGAUGUUCACUUUUUUGCCAUUCAAGAGUAAGGGCUGUUGUCUAAGUUUUGAAGCAUCAUCAAUUUGCUUUUCAACCUGGUACAGCUUUAGGUAAUAGAGCUGCAGGAAAAAAGCCUCCAUCUCGAAGGGUAACUUCGUGGGAGACUCUUGGCCUGAGUGCAACUGAUACCACUUCUUCCUGUUUCUAUUUUGUGCUAAAAUCGUGUUGUUUUGUAAUACAGACAGGAACUCUGAGCAAAACUUACGCUUAAGAUGUACUAAAAAUGCUACAGCGUUUUGCUGGAUGUAGGCCAAAGUGCUGCGUCCCUUCCUUUGGGGCUGCGGCACUGAGAUAGGAAGAUAUCUCUUCGGGAGCGAUUAACUGUAAUACAUUUACCAGGAAAAGGGCCCAGGUUUUUUGAAUCGCACGCUGUCUGUGUGAGCACAUGAAUCACCCCCCAUACAGAUAACGUUAUGUGAUAGUCAGCAGAGUAACUGAAAGUAUGAUGAUAUUCAUUUGUGCUUUACAGGAUUCUUCUCCCCUGUGAAAAGCUGGUUUUACCAAACUUGCAGCCUCUCUUAAGGAAGAGAAGCAGAGAAUGGUGUGUUUUUAAAGCUUCCAAUUUUCAGUACGAGUUAUUAAAGUAAGGCGAAUUUGAGUCAAAUAUGUAUGUAUAUAUUUAUUAUUGCUAUCUGAAAAUAUGCAAGUUGGGCCUAGAUGCAAAAUACGUCAUUUACUGAUAGUAAUGAGUGUGAACUGCUGUGUUGGGUCCACAGCCCUGGCACCUCUGAGCCAAGUUGGGUCCCAGCUGCCGCUCUGGGCUGCGGGAUGAAGCAUUUGCUGCUGCCAGAAGGUCCUCCAUCUGAUGUAGAGCAAUGUUUGUAUCAACCUGGCCAACCUGUGGUCGUUGCUGAGCAUUUCUAGCAGAGAAAGGCUUUAAUUAAUAGAGCGUUCCAUGUCAGCGUGUUGGGACGUUGCGGUUUCUCUCCGUGUUGGUAAGCGCGGUGCAGCCAGUAGGUGUCACUGCGACAAAGGCUACUGGGUCAACAGUGCUGAACCUGCGCUGCCCUCCUCUUCUUCAUUCUUCAGUAAAGGCUGACUUGCAUUAUUUCACCUUCACAUAAACACAUCGAGUACUCGUUUUACUUCUAAAAAUAAUAAAAACAGCCCAUAAUUACGAUAACUGGUUCUGGAAUUAAGGGGGUCGAUAGAAAUGUGCUCAAAGUCAAAAUGCCAUGUUUGUACAACUCGUAAGGGAGGAAAAGGCAUCUGCAUCUCACAGCCUGAGUCUGUUGGCAGAGGACGUGAUAAAAAAUGGACUAUUGCACAGUUCCUGCACAAAGGAAGAGUCCACACAUCUCAACAAUGGAAAACUGAUCAGAAAUUCUUUUUCCUUCUGUUAAUUUAAAUAUUUAUGGUAAUAAUAAUCCGCAUCAUUGACAUUUCUUCUUCCUUGGUACUUGAAUAACCUGACUUGCUGGCACGUGUCUGUGACAGAACAAGGGUAGCCUUGAGAUUCAGUUUGAAGGCAGUUAGCAGAUUUCAUCAGGCACUGCUAUGUGAAGGAGCUGUCUGUUUGGGUAUUUUUUAAGCACUACAAUGAAAAUUAGUUGAGGUGAGUUUGCACUGAUUUUCAAAUAAUAAAUGUACAUCUUUUGCUGUAAAGCAUUAAUAGAUGGGCAUCGAUUCAGCUGUGUAAAAGCAGAAAUCUCAUGUUUCUGCUCACAUAAAGGUAUGCAAACUGUAGUGUAUUUUUAUGCAAAUGCUAACGAGUUGGUAGUUUAAGAACAGUUCUGUCAUCUUUUUUUUAAUUAUUUUCAACAUUUGUGCAUGCUGCUGCACAGCAAAGAAAGGGCUGUAUAAUCUUCUAUGCUUUCUUGGACAUUGGAGUGCAGAAUGGCUGAUCCGGUAUGGCAGGUGCUGCGGUAUGAGACAAGGAGCCGUGUCCUUCCCUUGGUCAGUCACUUGUUGCUUCACUUGGCUAUGAUUCAUCCCGUAUUUUGGCUUAGCUGUUAGAGCACACAAUUAAGACUUUGUGAUAUUAACGAAAAAGCCCAGAACGGUGAUUUCAGUGCUGCAUACCAACUUCUCUACGUGUAGAUAGUGGAAAAUCAGUGUUGUAGAGCAUUUUUGGUGUAAAAUUCCAUGUAGUGGUUGAUUAUAUAGGGGAAAUGGUAGAGAAGUUCUUGGAGGAGACUCGGGUACCUUCAUUCUUCUCUCAAUUUGUUGUGUACAGUGGAGUGGAUUGGUUGUAUUGUGCACAUGCAGGAUACAUUGGGGAUGGUAUUGCUGAGCAUCUUGCUCAGAAGACUUGUUUCUUAAUGCCUUGAAAUUCACGAAGGCCACUUAAGCACAGUAUUAGAAGUAAUCUUAAAGUGAGGUAACUUCCAGCCAACGCACCUUUCCGUAAACUUGAAUUUCAGUCUUGCGAAUUGUGUGAGUAGCAGAGAUCUCAGCCCGAUAGCGGUGGUUUUGUGACUACUGAGUUAUACUAUCAGAGAAAAGAAAUCUCGCAGCGCUGUUUUGCACCAUGACCUCGAUUCACCUUUUCUGGAACCGGCUGCCUUACUUUCUGACAGGCUGUGCUGGGCACUACAGGAAGGUGUGUGCCCCAUCACACCGCACAGCUGCUUCUCUUUCCAGCAGUGUCAGUGAUCACUUGCGUGACAGUGGAGAAAAUGAAAAUGUAAACGUGUUAGAAAUUUCUUGGACAGAUGACUGAAUUAGAUAUAUAGUUUAGGCAGGGAAGUAACUUCACUGCAUUUACUUUUUUUGCUGGUUAUAAAGUACCAGGAGGAAAAGACUUUAAAAUACGUUGCUCCAUACAUUGGUUUUGCUCCCAGCCCUUUUUUUUUGCCAUUGCUUCCGAAACUUUUAAUUUCCUAAGGAAAGUACUUUUCCCAUGAAAAGCAAUUUGAAAAGUCAUAGAAUCAUAGAAUGGCCUGGGCUGCAAAGGAGCACAAUGAUCAUUUAGCUUCAACCCCCUGCUGUGUGCAGGGUCACCAACCACCGGACCAGGCUGCCCAGAGCCACAUCCAGUUGUUUCUCAGCAGUUCUUCCAUACUGCAUACCUUCAGGGGAGCGCUCUGUUGAGCUGCCUAAGCGAGGUCAUGAACGGCCGGUUUGUGAGGUGGAGGCAUCUGAGGACACGUGGAAUACAUUGAGUGGUGAGAGCUCAGGCUUGGCUUGCUGGGCUUCUGUAAUAAUUGGGUUAUGUGGGAGCCCUUGUCUGGUUUGAAGCAGUGGGAUAUGCCACUCCUUAACUUGCUGGCAUGGGGAGACGUUAUGGAAGACAGUACAUGGAAUAUAACAGCUUUCUUCUUUGCUGCUUUAUCUGGCGGAAAUACACUGAGCUGAAACUCAAAGAGCUUACAGCAGUGUCUAUGCCUCCCCCUUUUGCUCUCGUACUUUAGAAUGCAAAAGCAACUGAGUAAGCGAGGUGUCCUUGGGAUGUGUGGCUUCCGAGGAGCUGGGAAGGUACAGCACAGCUUCUGUGGGCCCUGUGCUGCAGCAUCCUUCAUUCCCAUCAGCGUGUGCUGACUUCAUGUAAAACAUCAGAAGUGGGAAAUUGACGUAAGGCGGUAUAUUUUGUGAAGUUAAAAAUGCCCAUUGUGCAAGGGCUCAGAUUGAGAGGGAGGCCUUGUUGUCACUGGGCUGAAAACAGCUUUGUAGCUGUGAACCUUUAAGUGAAGACAUUCUGCUUCUUUCCUCAGUAGAUAGGUGAUGUGUGCCUGCCGACAGCUACGUUAUCUGCAGGUCACAGCUGUCAAUGGCUGCAUUCACUUCACUGCACUCCACCAUUCGAAAGAAAUAAUGAAAGCCCUCGCUUAAAAUUUAAACGUGUAUUUAAAAAUGAGGUCAUCCUUUCCUGCUGGUCAGAGUUGCUUGCUUUAUGCAUUUGGCUGGGAUAGCCUCAGAAACAGCUUCGUGCUCUGCUGCCGUGCCGUGGUGUGUUUCCUUUAAUUAUACAUUUGCAUGGAGAAGGAUUGCAGCCUGCUCCCCUCCUGUGCCAUCCUCCCGCCCUCCGCAGUGGGAGUUGUGCGGAUCGUGGCGUGUUGUUCAGCCGGCUGCGUUAUUUAUAUCUCAUGCAUGAAAUCAGCCGUUCCAAACAGAUAAUUUCUGCUCCUGUAAUAGAAAAGCAGCAGCAAGCGUGCCUCCAGCUCUCUCACAGGGUGAGGGUGUGACGCAUUGCCAGUCACUGUGCUUACUAAACUCUCGCUGUGCCCAGACAGCACAGGGCUGUGCCUGCCUGAUGUUUCAGAUACUCGGGGCCCAAUUAGGGCCGAAAAUCUGUUUUCAGCUCCCGUAGGUACGGAUGCCUGCUUUCCUCAGCCCCUGUUGUGUCAUUCUGUGAGCAGUCGGCUCCGGCUGCCCGCAGCUGAGUGCUGUAAUUUCUUUGCAGCGCUGGCGCAUUAUAAAUGCAUCUGUGCAGCAUUUUCCAAAUGCACCUAAUUCCUGAUGUCACCCUGUGAGCUGACAGCUUCUUUCCAGAUGCCCGUGUUCUUUGGGUACCUAAUGCUGUGAAGUUGUUGAGCAUGUGUGUACAAAGGAAAGGGAGGCCUGGCUUUACUGAAGAGAACACCGCUGCAGCUAACACCAUGACAGGCAUUCCAUCGCCAUCCAUUUGAGCGUCUUUUAGCGCUUUUUCCCCCGCUGUGGGUAGCCCUGUGUGGUCAGGUCAGUGAUGCUAAGGAGCUGUCAGGCCGUGUGAGCGGAGGGCACGUCCUGCUGCCAUGCAGCAAAGCAGCACGGGCUGCCUCAGCCUGCAGCACCCCCAGCAGCACCCGCACAGCUGGGCUGCCCCGUGCGCUCACACACGCACAGCCGCCUGCCGGAAGAUGACAGCAUGCUGCUGGCUUUUGGACAAAAGAAAGUUAGCUCCGCUCUUAACGCCUUCCAUCUCCACGCUGCGCUGUGUAAAUAGACGGGAACUCGCUCCAGUUCAGUACGUUGGCUUUUGCAGCGCGUCCCUUGAAGCAGUGGGUGGGCCGGACCCGGGUGCUGCAGCUCCGUGCUGGGGUGGUGCAGAGUUACGGUGGCGGUGCUCGGAGGGGGCUGGGAGGGAUUGUAGCUCUGCUCUGGUGCGAAUCAUCCCUCAGUCACGAAGGAGUGCUCGUAGAGCAACCUAAACUAAGAAGUUCGGUAAGGUCGGGAGCGCCGGUGCCGUUGGUUUUAGUGCGGGCUGUUCGUUCCGAGGUGGUAACGGGGGGGACUGGCAGCGG